GUCCUUUCAGUUUUGCACAUGGAAGAAGAAGGUCGUUUGCAAAUAGAUGCGAGGUUAUCAUAAUGACUAUUUGUUUUGUGACCUGCUACAAUUUAAUCCUGGAGUGUUGAGGUGUUUAUUUGUGUGUUACUGGAAGGUGUACACUUAAACGAGAGGUAAAAGAGCAGGUCGAUAUCCGAAGACAACGUCAAAAACCCAAGAAGUUCCGCAACACAGUCCAGAUGGUACAGCCACACCGCAACGCUACCCAGCCGUUUCAGCCCCGCAACCGGUUAAUCUGAACCCGCAACAACUUGUGGCUGUGGUGAGCCUUGUUGCAGAAUACCAUUGUUCCGUGUUUGCGCAGCGAAGGGGCAUUUUGGCUGAUGAUUCGCUGCACUGUCAGACAGUGUUGAAUAAAAUGAAUCACUAGUAGCUACCAAUCAAUAUCGUUCUAGGUACUCGUCACUUGGACCUCGUGGAAUUUUCAGAUAGCCAAAACCGGCAUCUCAAAGAGGGUCACUUAAACCUCCAUUCCCUUACCAAAACCCUUAUUGACUUAGCAGUAUUACAAGUCUAUCUUUCUUUAUAUCCAAAUAAAUAAGUGGCAGCUGAAUUGUUAGAGGGUUCUAACAAAGGGUUUCGAUUACAAAACCAGCGCCCUAGAGUCCAAACUUCAGUCAAACUUUAAUUUCCGUUAGGCAAAACUCUGCUGUAGCUAAUGAGAAAGUUACUAGUAUGUAGGAAGUGCAGUUAAGCAGAAUUGCGGUUCCUUUUUAAGAAAUGCCUGUUCCAAAUUUCAGGCAAUCCGCGAUCAGUCUUGUGGCCAAAAAGAUGGUAGCUCGAGGAUUAUACACCAUCUUUCCUUUCCGAAGGGAACCUCGCAGUGUUCAAGUUUGAAUGAUUUUAUUGAUACGUCUUCUUCCUCAGUUCAGUACACUUCUUUAGACAGAGUGACGGAGCUAUUGUUUCAUUAGUGCAAUAUUGCGAAAUGGCUAAAGCUGGCAUCAAAUCUGCCUUUCGCCUUUUGAGGUUCAUAAUUAUGAUGUUGAAAUUAUUAGCCUUCAAAUUAGGAGGGGAUUAUUUUACUGACAAGACGUUACCUAUGAGUGUGCAAUCUUUUGCUGCCAUUGGGAAAAGUUUGUUAAUUUAUUACAAUAGCUGGUCCGGUACAAGAGGAAAUCCGAAAGGCUGUUUUAUUACUUGGAUAAUUAUGUUUGUUUCGCUCGCUCUAAUUCAGGGAAUGUGUGACCAAUUUGUUCUGUUUUAUAGAUAAAUGCCUUAACAUACCCGUAGCAAAAAAAAAAAAAAAAAAAAAAAAAAAAAAAAAAAAAAAAAAAAUGCAAGCCUAAGUUGAUCUUUUAAUUUCUGUAGCAGAGCCAUUCCCUUUCUAGACUAUUUAGUAGUGGUUUCUAUGCGAUCGUGUCAGCUUUACUUGCAUGCACAGACGACUUGCACCUUACUGCACUUUUAGCCCAUCUUUUAAUCAAGAAUGUAGCUCGUCAUACAACAUGUCUGUAUAUCUCGGACAUUUCUUCUAUUGUAAAAUAAAUAGUCUUGAAUAUCUUACUUAAAGAUUUAUGUUACGUUGAAUGCUUAUCAGUUUUGAUAGGUUGCAUCGGACAAUUGACAUCAGGCAACCUAUAACGCUUGAUUUACUUCGUAAACUUAUACAGGUGACAAAUACUGUUUGCUCUUCUAUAUUUUAGGCAUUACAGUUUUCAGCAGUAAUUUCCCUGACCAUUUUGAUUUUUAAGGAUAUGUGAGCUUGUACACACGAACUCAAACUCCUCGAAUAUAAGUGCUAAAGGUCACGCAUUAUGUGAGGGAGACGUUAGUAUUGUAAGUAUUGGUGUACUUCGCAUA
rnacentral:lncRNA from 1 species